rnacentral:rRNA from 1 species
UUGCUCCGCUGACGAGUGGCGAACGGGUGAGUAAUAUAUCGGAACGUACCCAAGAGUGGGGGAUAACGUAGCGAAAGUUACGCUAAUACCGCAUACGAUCUAUGGAUGAAAGCAGGGGACCUUCGGGCCUUGUGCUCCUGGAGCGGCCGAUAUCUGAUUAGCUAGUUGGUGAGGUAAAGGCUCACCAAGGCGACGAUCAGUAGCUGGUCUGAGAGGACGACCAGCCACACUGGAACUGAGACACGGUCCAGACUCCUACGGGAGGCAGCAGUGGGGAAUUUUGGACAAUGGGCGCAAGCCUGAUCCAGCAAUGCCGCGUGAGUGAAGAAGGCCUUCGGGUUGUAAAGCUCUUUUGUCAGGGAAGAAACGGGUGUGGCUAAUAUCCAGGGCUAAUGACGGUACCUGAAGAAUAAGCACCGGCUAACUACGUGCCAGCAGCCGCGGUAAUACGUAGGGUGCAAGCGUUAAUCGGAAUUACUGGGCGUAAAGCGUGCGCAGGCGGUUUUGUAAGUCUGUCGUGAAAUCCCCGGGCUCAACCUGGGAAUUGCGAUGGAGACUGCAAGGCUAGAAUCUGGCAGAGGGGGGUAGAAUUCCACGUGUAGCAGUGAAAUGCGUAGAGAUGUGGAGGAACACCGAUGGCGAAGGCAGCCCCCUGGGUCAAGAUUGACGCUCAUGCACGAAAGCGUGGGGAGCAAACAGGAUUAGAUACCCUGGUAGUCCACGCCCUAAACGAUGUCUACUAGUUGUCGGGUUUUAAUUAACUUGGUAACGCAGCUAACGCGUGAAGUAGACCGCCUGGGGAGUACGGUCGCAAGAUUAAAACUCAAAGGAAUUGACGGGGACCCGCACAAGCGGUGGAUGAUGUGGAUUAAUUCGAUGCAACGCGAAAA